GACUCUGAUAAGUCCAGUUUUAUUCGUAUAAGGCAUCAUUUUAGACAUAGCCUAAGAACAACAACAACAACCGAAACGAAACGAAACAAACUGUGAGAUAAAAAAAGAAAUAGUGAGGCUUGUUACGAGGAUGACUUUAAAGGUUCAUGUUGUAUACUGAGGAGCAUGAGGUUAUGCCUCCAAGUUCCAAAAGCUAGCUAAUGAUUUGAAGAAAGAGUUUCCAGAUAAACUUGACAUUACAAGUGAAGGUACUCCUAAUGUAACUGGCUGGUUUGAGGUUCUUGUUGAUGGCGAACCUGUUCACUCAAAAAAGAAUGGAGAUGGCUAUGUUGACAAUAAAGCAAAGAUUGACAGAAUUAAGAAACAUAUAGAACAAAGUUUGGCGUAGUGAUUUACCUGUUAAAAAUCUGAUAACAACUGGACAUGGUUCAUUAAUUUCUGGAGAGAAGCUAGGAUGAUGAUUUAUGAUGAAACAAUUGAUGUGUCAUAGAUUGGAUGAUAACAGCUGCUGCCAGAUAUUGAAUAUUGUUCACUUGUUGACAGUUUAUAUGUACAUGUUAAUGUGUUAUACACUCCCAUAUAUUUUGUGUUUAAAAUUAUUGUUAACAGUACAAGCAUGUAACUUGUUAUAUCUUCAAGGAAAAAAUUGAUAAACAUUUACAUUUGAAUAUUUAUAGUGUUAAUCCUACUUUCAUUUUCCCAGAUAAUGCAGGUCACUUUCAAUGUAAUUGAUCAGGAAAUCCUUUCACUGUACCUCUGCUCUAGCAUGUAGAGAAGUGAAAGUGAAGGCAAUUAGUUCUUUUAAACUGCUUGACAGCCUGCCUGCCUUGGCUGAACUGUGCUCUGCUAAAUUCAGUGUUGCACAUUUAUAUAGUCUUACCAAGCUCUAUACUGUUGGUAGCUCAAUUUUUGUAUUUUGAAAUUGAAAUAUCUUACACUUUAAAUUGUCUUUCCCAAAUUCAAAAAUGGAAAGGCAAAUUAUUAUAUUAAAUUCAGUAUGUUAAGGAUUUACAUAGGUCAGUAUUGCGCUGAAAUCCUAAAUGGUACAAUGGAUAUUGUUGCUGGCAUUUCCUUUAUGGUGACACUAAAGUAAGAAGGAAUGAUAUGUUUAUACAUGUACAUGUAGGUACCAUAAACUAUCAAUGUGAUAUCUAAAAAGGCUGAUAAUUUUGAAUCUCUUUAUGUUUUGUUCUUUUACAUUUUAUGUUUAAGUUCUUGUUAAAGGUAACAUUUAUUCUCUUUUUCUAUUUGUUGAACUUGUUUUCUACAGUAACAUGUGAUGCAUCUACUUCUUCGCAAAUUGUUGAAAUUUCAACAAAUCUCAGGAAUUUUUCAUAUACAAACGAUAAAAAGUAAAUGAUACUAAAUAGUAUCAUUUAAAUUUGAUAUAGACUAUGGUAUCUGUCACUAUUCUUCUGUAUUGGAAGGGAAAAGUGAAGUUAGAUGUUUUAUUACAUAGGAUUUCAAGAUUUGGACAGAUCAAGUAAGGAGAUAAAACUUAAGUUGUGUAUACAUGUAUAUUGCUUUCUCAUGCGUUUACAAACCAACUUUUAUAUAAUAUUUUACAUGUUUUCAUUCACCUUAAUUAAUAAAUAUGUUUGAGAUUUAA